rnacentral:lncRNA from 1 species
UUUGAUUUAUUUUGAAUUUCAGUUUAUUUAUUUUUUUUAUUUCAAGUUUUAAAUCAUAUGAGGGAAUAUUGAAUUUUAUUGGAUUUUUGUGAUUUAAAACUUAUUAAAACCACUUGAGGAGCCCAAUAAUUGUUAAUGGGUCUCUUGGGGGCCCAACUAAAUUUUCAUGUAUGAUGUUUAGUCCCACAUUGAAAAUCAAAGGGGUGUUUGUGGUUUUUAUAUAUUCCCUUAUUCUCAAGCUAGUUGCUUGGAAGAAAAUGAGAGUAAUGCUAUCGUUUAAAUACA